rnacentral:lncRNA from 1 species
CCCCAUAAAGGACUUCACCACAGUUUUUUUACUGGAUAUACUGAGAUGCCAGCUUUGGCUACAACUACAUAAAUGUGGUCACAUGUUGCUGUACAAAAGACGUCUUGAAGCAUCGGCAGCUACAUUUAAACAAAUAUAUAUAUUUUAAUACAUAAAUUAUUUAUUUUUAGUUAUUCAAAUUUUUUUAAUUUUUCGUUUAGAUUGUUUCUAUCGGAGAGUCAUUGGAUGUUGCCCAUAGCCAUUGGAAAAUGCUGCAUGGGAAAGAUGAUAACAAAGAUGAAGGGAAAGAUGCCUACAAACGUCUCGAUUCAGUGCAGUCAUCAUAGGAGCAGUAAAUGGUGUUCGGUGAUUCUGCCAAUUUAAUAUGAAGUGUCCGACAAACGCCAGCAGUUACUUGAAAUCAACUUUUGAAAAGAUCUAUAUAUAAGUCGUAAAAACGCAAUCAAAUUUUGCAAAGUUAUAACGAAACCGAUUUUUUGUGAACCAAUGUAAAUGAUUUGCAACUGUUAAUAUAUAUCAAAAGAAGGGUAAAUCGAUUACCUUUCUUUUGAUUAUAAU